rnacentral:rRNA from 1 species
UACGGAGGGUGCUAGCGUUGUUCGGAAUUACUGGGCGUAAAGCGCACGUAGGCGGCUUUGUAAGUUAGAGGUGAAAGCCCGGGGCUCAACCCCGGAAUUGCCUUUAAGACUGCAUCGCUAGAAUUGUGGAGAGGUGAGUGGAAUUCCGAGUGUAGAGGUGAAAUUCGUAGAUAUUCGGAAGAACACCAGUGGCGAAGGCGACUCACUGGACACAUAUUGACGCUGAGGUGCGAAAGCGUGGGGAGCAAACAGG